AGGGCCAUGGUUAUGAAGAUGAUGGUGAUAAUUAUGACAACAAUGACAAAUAUCUUCAACUACAGUGAAAAUAGCACUACUGUUUAUUAGGUGAUAGACAAUAUGUUGGGGACUUUUUGAUAACCUGACACUGUCCUGGGGAGCAGGAAUUGAAAUUCCUGUUGCACAGAUUGGGAAAUUAAAGGUAGCUAAUUUGUUCAGUCACCCAGCUCCUGUCAGGUCAGACUUGACUCUUGGACAGAAUCUAUUGAUUCUACGCAGAUUUCCCACUUCAUGAAAGAAUGGCAUGAUUUUUCAUCUGUAACUCAGAAACCAUUUUGAGUUUGUAAAUACUGAGUUACUCAAACUGAUGCCCCUAUGACGUGAAAGUGCUGGGAGUUCUAUCUGUCUGAAUGAGGCAGAGAACAAUGCUGAUGGGAUUUCUGCCCCCACUGUGUAGGGUCCCUCAUGCAUUUGUGGUGCUUUGUAACAACCCUCAUCAAAGUACGUAACUCAAGAGAUGCAGGAUCUGCCAAUCAUAAGCAGCUCUUCCCAGCUCCUUUUGUAGGAAAAACUUUCUCACAUCCCUGGUAUUGGGCACAGGAUAAGAACAGCCUGUGGGGUUGGCAGCUUCCUGUCAUGGUCUCAUCUACAGAAAUGUCUUCUCUUCUUUUCAUCCUGCUAAAUUGGAGAUUGUGAAUCUCUGGAAUCAGAUAAAAUGUUAUUUUCUCAUUUGGUAAAAAAAGAGAACAUUUAAUGUCUCAUAAAGCUGUAGGAGAGGGUUUGGUAAAAUAAGCAUUUUAAACCCCCAACUCAAGGAGUAUGUGGAAUACUAAAGAAGAGAAUUUCCCUGUAGGGGCCUCCAUCUCUUCUGCAUAAGAGAAAGGAAGAUGGAAAGUCCUCCUUGCAGGAAGAGGAGUCUUCCAUCUCACAGAGUCCUCCAUCUCCUCAUAGAAUCUCCCAUCUCCCAGAGUCCCCCAUCUCAUACAGUCCCCAUCUCACAGAGUUCCCCAUCUCAUACAGUCCCCAUCUCCUCAGAGUCCCCCAUCUCAUACAGUCCCCAUCUCACAGAGUUCCCCAUCUCACAGAGUCCUCCAUCUCACAGUCCUCCAUCUCCUCACAGAGUUCCCCAUCUCACAGAGUCCUCCAUCUCACAGAGUCCUCCAUCUCCUCACAGAGUCCGCCAUCUCACAGUCCUCCAUCUUCCCUCACAGUUCCCCAUCUCACAGAGUCCUCCAUCUCACAGAGUCCUCCAUCUCCUCACAGAGUCCGCCAUCUCACAGUCCUCCAUCUUCUCACAGAGUUCCCCAUCUCACAGAGUCCUCCAUCUCACAGAGUCCUCCAUCUCCUCACAGAGUCUCCCAUCUCACAGAGUCCUCCAUCUCCUCAGAGUCCCCCAUCUCACAGAGCCCUCCAUUUCCUUACAGAGUCCUCCAUCUCCUCACAAAGUCUCCCAUCUCACAGAGUCCCCCAUCUCACAGAGUUCCCCAUCUCCUCACAGAGUCCCCCAUCUCACAGAGUCCUCCAUCUCCUGGCAGUCCCCCAUCUCCUCUGCAUAA
rnacentral:lncRNA from 1 species